rnacentral:rRNA from 1 species
GAUGAACGCUGGCGGCGUGCCUAAUACAUGCAAGUCGAGCGAACGGACGAGAAGCUUGCUUUUCUGAUGUUAGCGGCGGACGGGUGAGUAACACGUGGAUAACCUACCUAUAAGACUGGGAUAACUUCGGGAAACCGGAGCUAAUACCGGAUAAUAUUUUGAACCGCAUGGUUCAAAAGUGAAAGACGGUCUUGCUGUCACUUCUAGAUGGAUCCGGGCUUCAUUAGCUGGUUGGUAGGUUAACGGCUUACCAAGGCAACGAUGCAUUGCGAACUGAGAGGGUGAUCGGCCACACUGGAACUUGGCCACGGUCCAUACUCCUGCGGGACGCAGCAGUAGGGUAUCUUCCGCAAUGGGCGAAAGCCUGGCGGAGUAACGCCGCGUGAGUGAUGAAGGUCUUCGGAUCGUAAAGCUCUGUUAUGAGUUAAGAACAUAUGUGUAAGGAACUGUGCACAGCUUGACGGUACCUAAUCAGAAAGCCACGGCUAACUACGUG